AUUGAACGCUGGCGGCAGGCUUAACACAUGCAAGUCGAGCGGGGUAAUGUAGCUUGCUACAUUACCUAGCGGCGGACGGGUGAGUAAUGCUUAGGAAUCUGCCUAUUAGUGGGGGACAACAUUCCGAAAGGAAUGCUAAUACAGCAUACGCCCUACGGGGGAAAGCAGGGGAACUGCGGAACUUGCGCUAAUAGAUGAGCCGAAGUCAGAUUAGCUAGUUGGUGGGGUAAAGGCCUACCAAGGCGACGAUCUGUAGCGGGUCUGAGAGGAUGAUCCGCCACACUGGGACUGAGACACGGCCCAGACUCCUACGGGAGGCAGCAGUGGGGAAUAUUGGACAAUGGGCGAAAGCCUGAUCCAGCCAUGCCGCGUGUGUGAAGAAGGCCUUUUGGUUGUAAAGCUCUUUAAGCGAGGAGGAGGCUACCGAGAUUAAUACUCUUGGAUAGUGGACGUACUCGCAGAAUAAGCACCGGCUAACUCUGUGCCAGCCGCCGCAGUAAUAC
rnacentral:rRNA from 1 species